UGCUCCUCGGGUGACGAGUGGCGGACGGGUGAGUAAUGUCUGGGGAUCUGCCCGAUAGAGGGGGAUAACCACUGGAAACGGUGGCUAAUACCGCAUAACGUCGCAAGACCAAAGAGGGGGACCUUCGGGCCUCUCACUAUCGGAUGAACCCAGAUGGGAUUAGCUAGUAGGCGGGGUAACGGCCCACCUAGGCGACGAUCCCUAGCUGGUCUGAGAGGAUGACCAGCCACACUGGAACUGAGACACGGUCCAGACUCCUACGGGAGGCAGCAGUGGGGAAUAUUGCACAAUGGGCGCAAGCCUGAUGCAGCCAUGCCGCGUGUAUGAAGAAGGCCUUCGGGUUGUAAAGUACUUUCAGCGGGGAGGAAGGCAGUGAGGUUAAUAACCUUACUGAUUGACGUUACCCGCAGAAGAAGCACCGGCUAACUCCGUGCCAGCAGCCGCGGUAAUACGGAGGGUGCAAGCGUUAAUCGGAAUUACUGGGCGUAAAGCGCACGCAGGCGGUCUGUUAAGUCAGAUGUGAAAUCCCCGGGCUUAACCUGGGAACUGCAUUUGAAACUGGCAGGCUUGAGUCUCGUAGAGGGGGGUAGAAUUCCAGGUGUAGCGGUGAAAUGCGUAGAGAUCUGGAGGAAUACCGGUGGCGAAGGCGGCCCCCUGGACGAAGACUGACGCUCAGGUGCGAAAGCGUGG
rnacentral:rRNA from 2 species